UGAAGUAGUAUUUAUGGUGAAUUUGGUUUUGGUUCGUAGGUCUUAGUUCUGACUAUAGUCAAACACAUGGUACUUUAUGGGGUCUGGUGAGUAAAAGGUCGAAAGAGAGCGUAGAAUGGAGUUAAAAAUUUUGUUUUGUGGUUUGGCUUAAGCAUAAUUUUUGUAAUAUUACGUUUGAAUUGGUUCACUAAUAAAGAGUAGGUACACCAGUGUUGGAGUUUGGUAUAUGAACUUAUGUUUGUUCCAGUAAGUAGUUAUGAAGGUCUGGUAAAGUUUGUGCCAGCCACCGCGGUUAGACAAACAGAUCAAGUUAAGAUUCGUUCAGUAUAAAAGGGGGUUAGAAAUAGAAAAAUUUAAGAGGGUUUGAUGUUUCCUAUAGAGGUGGAAUUUGUAUAGGUUAGUUUGAUUUAUAGCUUUCUUGUUUUUGAUGCCUCGAAAGUUUAGUAGAAGACCGGGAUUAGAUACCCCGUUAUUUAUUAAGUAAACUUUAAUUAAUGUUUUGAUUUACUUGGGUAUUACGGGUUGCUUGGAAUAUUUUGGAUUGUUCAAGUAGAUUGCUUAGAACCCAAAAAACUUGGCGGUACUUUAUUUCCCUCCAGGGGAACCUGUCCUGUAAUCGAUGGUCCACGAUUUAACUUACCUUUUUUUUGUAUUAAAUGCCAUUUGAUUUGGUAGAUAAGCAGCUUGUAUACCGUCGUCGUCAGAUUACCUUUAAGAGAGAUAAAAGUUGUCUAGAGAGAAUGGGUUUAUGUGUUCGUAGUGUGUAUAGGAUUUACAUAGUAUAGUGUGAAAUUAAGUCUUUGAUGUCAGAUCAAGGUGCAGCUUAUGAAAAGGAAGAGAUGGGUUACAAUAAGUAGUUAUUAUACGGAUUUCAUGUUGUGAUACAUGACUGAAGGCGGACUUGGGAGUAAUAUUGAUUUUUGGCUAUAAUAGUGAGUUAGUGUGAAAGUGGUAUUAAGGUGUGUACAAAUCGCCCGUCGCUCUCGCCGGAAGGUGAGAUAAGUCGUAACAUAGUGAGGGUACCGGAAGGUGUUCUGGGGAAGAAUAAUAAUUGAG
rnacentral:rRNA from 1 species